UACAGAGGUGGCAAGCGUUGUUCGGAAUUACUGGGCGUAAAGGGCGCGUAGGCGGUUCGAUAAGUCCCGUGUGAAAGCCCCCGGCUCAACUGGGGAACUGCACGGGAAACUGACGGACUUGAGUUCGGGAGAGGGAAGCGGAAUUCCGGGUGUAGCGGUGAAAUGCGUAGAUAUCCGGAGGAACACCGGUGGCGAAGGCGGCUUCCUGGACCGACACUGACGCUGAGGCGCGAAGGCUAGGGGAGCGAACGGG
rnacentral:rRNA from 1 species